CUACACCAUGUAAAGAAGAAAGCAGACCUUCGUGUGCUUUUCAAUCGGAAAGUAAACCACAAGCGUAUGGUGCAUUCUGCAGUUCUAUCUUAACACAUACACUGUUUGUAGAAACAGAAACGGGAGCGAAGCGUGCGCCACGAGAAGAAGUCAACAACCAACGAACGAAUGAAUGCAAAGUGCGUGGUCUAUGCGCGAAACCUUUGACAGGUGGUAGCUAAAAAAAUUAAAACGUUUUCUGACGUCUCGAGGGAAAGCGGCUAAAUUUGUGCGGUAGAUUAGGCGGCUAAAUUUGAUGCAAUAUAAACUUGAACAAUAAAAGGUGCUGGAACGAUUUA